GACCUACGGGGGGCAGCAGUGGGGAAUAUUGGACAAUGGGGGCAACCCUGAUCCAGCGAUGCCGCGUGAGUGAAGAAGGCCUUCGGGUUGUAAAGCUCUUUCACCUGUGACGAUAAUGACGGUAGCAGGAGAAGAAGCACCGGCAAACUCUGUGCCAGCAGCCGCGGUAAGACAGAGGGUGCUAGCGUUGUUCGGAAUGACUGGGCGUAAAGGGCGCGUAGGCGGUUUUUCAAGUCAGAUGUGAAAGCCCUGGGCUUAACCUGGGAACUGCAUUUGAUACUGGAUGACUGGAGUGCGAGAGAGGAAAGCGGAAUUCCUAGUGUAGAGGUGAAAUUCGUAGAUAUUAGGAGGAACACCAGAGGCGAAGGCGGCUUUCUGGCUCGCAACUGACGCUGAGGCGCGAAAGCGUGGGGAGCAAACAGGAUUAGAUACCCGGGUAGUCCG
rnacentral:rRNA from 1 species